rnacentral:tRNA from 1 species
AGCUUUUUAGUUUAUUGUGUUAAAUACCGGUUUUGUAAACCGGAGAAGGUUUUACCAGGGGCUU